ACUCAACAACUGCAUCCAACCUCAAGAGAAGCCCCUGAGAGCACAGUUUCUCACCAUGGACUUGACCUGGAAGAUCCUCCUCUUGGUGACAGCAGCCACAGGUGCCCACUCCCAGGUGCAGCUGGUGCAGUCUGGGGCUGAGAUUAAGCAGCCUGGGGCCUCAGUGAAGCUCUCCUGCAAGGCUUCUGGAUAUACCUUCACUAGCUACUACAUGCACUGGGUGAGACAGGCCCCUGGACAAGGCCUUGAGUGGAUAGGACUGAUCUCCCCUUACAAUGGUAACAAAGGCUACGCACAGAACUUCCAGGGCAGAGUCACCAUAACUACGGACACGUCCACGAGCACAGGCUACAUGGAGCUGAGCAGCCUGAGAUCUGAGGACACAGCCGUGUAUUACUGUACGAGAGACACAGUGUGAAAACCACAUCCUGAGAGUGUCAGAAACCCCAGGAAGGAGGCAGCUGUGCUGGCAUGGAGGAGAUGACAAAGAUUAUUAGAUUGAAGACUUUCUUAGAAAAUGACAUUAAGACAUUAAAGAAAAUGACCAAUAUCAAUGUGUAUUUGAGAAAUUUCAGUUAUUUGAGAUACUUAUCAUACAAAAUUUAUUCUGUAAGUAAAUUUCAGGGAUUGGAGAAUGAAUAAAAUUAACAAAUCUGAUACAGAACUUCCUCUGAAUCAAUCUUUGCAAACAUCAAUUUCUGAAUCAAUGUUGGAAAUAUUUUGAAACACAAAAGCAAGUUCACAUUUUAACUCUUUUAUCUCUAGUUAAGAAAUGCCAAAAAAUCUCAUGUUGUGCAUGUAACAUUUUGAAUUCCCACCGACAGUGCAUGAAAUUUCUUGGUUUUCCACAUUCAUAUUGCCAUUUAUCAUCAUGAGAAUUGUGAGUUUUAACCAUGUUAAUAGGUGAGUAGUGAUACCUAAUUUUUAUUUAAGUGCACAUGUCCCUAAUAAAAAAUUGUAUUU